ensembl:snoRNA scaRNA:MeU2-C28 small Cajal body-specific RNA : MeU2-C28
GCGCCUUAAUGCAUUGAGUGAUUACCUUGCACUUUGAUCGCUGAGGCAG